rnacentral:misc_RNA from 1 species
GAUGAAGAACGUAGCGAAAUGCGAUAAGUAAUGUGAAUUGCAGAAUUCAGUGAAUCAUCGAAUCUUUGAACGCACAUUGCGCCCGUCAGUAUUCUGGCGGGCAUGCCUGUUCGAGCGUCAUUACGCCCCUCAAGUCCCCUGUGGACUUGGUGUUGGGGAUCGGCGAGGCUGGUUUUCCAGCACAGCCGUCCCUUAAAUUAAUUGGCGGUCUCGCCGUGGUCCUCCUCUGCGCAGUAGUAAAACACUCGCAACAGGAGCCCGGCGCGGUCCACUGCCGUAAAACCCCCGAACUUUUUAUAGUUGACCUCGAAUCAGGUAGGACUACCCGCUGAACUUAAGCAUAUCAAUAAGCGGAGGA